rnacentral:rRNA from 1 species
AGAGUGAACGCUGGCGGUAGGCCUAACACAUGCAAGUCGAACGGCAGCACAGUGGUAGCAAUACCAUGGGUGGCGAGUGGCGGACGGGUGAGGAAUACAUCGGAAUCUACCUUUUCGUGGGGGAUAACGUAGGGAAACUUACGCUAAUACCGCAUACGCCCUUUGGGGGAAAGCCGGGGAUCGCAAGACCUGGCGCGGAUAGAUGAGCCGAUGUCGGAUUAGCUAGUUGGUGAGGUAAUGGCUCACCAAGGCGACGAUCCGUAGCUGGUCUGAGAGGAUGAUCAGCCACACUGGAACUGAGACACGGUCCAGACUCCUACGGGAGCAGCAGUGGGAAUAUGGACAAGUGGGCGCAAGCCUGAUCCAGCCAGUACCGCGUGGGUGAAGAAGG